rnacentral:tRNA from 9 species
GUUUCUGUAGUUGAAUAA